rnacentral:rRNA from 1 species
AAGAAGUAGGUAGCUUAACAUUCGGGAGGGCGCUUACCACUUUGUGAUUCAUGACUGGGGUGAAGUCGUAACAAGGUAACCGUAGGGGAACCUGCGGUUGGAUCACCUCCUUACCUUAAAGAAGC